AGAUGUUGGGGUUAAGUCCCGUAACGAGCGCAACCCUUGUCCUUAGUUACCAGCACAUAAUGGUGGGCACUCUAAGGAGACUGCCGGUGACAAACCGGAGGAAGGUGGGGAUGACGUCAAGUCAUCAUGGCCCUUACGGCCUGGGCUACACACGUGCUACAAUGGUCGGUACAAAGGGUUGCCAAGCCGCGAGGUGGAGCUAAUCCCAUAAAACCGAUCGUAGUCCGGAUCGCAGUCUGCAACUCGACUGCGUGAAGUCGGAAUCGCUAGUAAUCGUGAAUCAGAAUGUCACGGUGAAUACGUUCCCGGGCCUUGUACACACCGCCCGUCACACCAUGGGAGUGGGUUGCACCAGAAGUAGCUAGUCUAACCU
rnacentral:rRNA from 1 species